rnacentral:rRNA from 1 species
ACAGGCUUAACACAUGCAAGUCGAGGGGCAGCAUUUUAGUUUGCUUGCAAACUGAAGAUGGCGACCGGCGCACGGGUGAGUAACACGUAUCCAACCUGCCGAUAACUCCGGAAUAGCCUUUCGAAAGAAAGAUUAAUACCGGAUAGUAUACGAAUAUCGCAUGGUAUUUUUAUUAAAGAAUUUCGGUUAUCGAUGGGGAUGCGUUCCAUUAGUUUGUUGGCGGGGUAACGGCCCACCAAGACUACGAUGGAUAGGGGUUCUGAGAGGAAGGUCCCCCACAUUGGAACUGAGACACGGUCCAAACUCCUACGGGAGGCAGCAGUGAGGAAUAUUGGUCAAUGGGCGAGAGCCUGAACCAGCCAAGUAGCGUGAAGGAUGAAGGCUCUAUGGGUCGUAAACUUCUUUUAUAUGGGAAUAAAGUUUUCCACGUGUGGAAUUUUGUAUGUACCAUAUGAAUAAGGAUCGGCUAACUCCGUGCCAGCAGCCGCGGUAAUACGGAGGAUCCGAGCGUUAUCCGGAUUUAUUGGGUUUAAAGGGAGCGUAGGUGGAUUGUUAAGUCAGUUGUGAAAGUUUGCGGCUCAACCGUAAAAUUGCAGUUGAAACUGGCAGUCUUGAGUACAGUAGAGGUGGGCGGAAUUCGUGGUGUAGCGGUGAAAUGCUUAGAUAUCACGAAGAACUCCGAUUGCGAAGGCAGCUCACUAGACUGUCACUGACACUGAUGCUCGAAAGUGUGGGUAUCAAACAGGAUUAGAUACCCUGGUAGUCCACACAGUAAACGAUGAAUACUCGCUGUUUGCGAUAUACAGUAAGCGGCCAAGCGAAAGCAUUAAGUAUUCCACCUGGGGAGUACGCCGGCAACGGUGAAACUCAAAGGAAUUGACGGGGGCCCGCACAAGCGGAGGAACAUGUGGUUUAAUUCGAUGAUACGCGAGGAACCUUACCCGGGCUUAAAUUGCAACAGAAUAUAUUGGAAACAGUAUAGCCGUAAGGCUGUUGUGAAGGUGCUGCAUGGUUGUCGUCAGCUCGUGCCGUGAGGUGUCGGCUUAAGUGCCAUAACGAGUGCAACCUUUAUCUUUAGUUACUAACAGGUGAUGUUGAGGACUCUAGAGAGACUGCUGUCGUAAGAUGUGAGGAAGGUGGGGAUGAUGUCAAAUCAGCACGGCCCUUACGUCCGGGGCUACACACGUGUUACAAUGGGGGGUACAGAAGGCGGCUACCUGGUGACAGGAUGCUAAUCCCAAAAACCUCUGUCAGUUCGGAUCGAAGUCUGCAACCCGACUUCGUGAAGCUGGAUUCGCUAGUAAUCGAGCAUCAGCCAUGGCGCGGUGAAUACGUUCCCGGCCCUUGUACACACCGCCCGUCAAGCCAUGAAAGCCGGGGGUACCUGAAGUACGUAACCGCAAGGAGCGUCCUAGGGUAAAACUGGUAAUU